AAGAAGGUAUAAGUUAUUAUAAGAUAUAUAUUAACAAAUAUUGACAUAUUACGAGUAAAUAAUAUUUCUAAUCGAAUGCAAAAUUAAUUACAUAAUUCUUUCAUUGAAGUUCGAAAAUUGUAUCUAAUUUUCAAAAGUGAAAUUUGUUUUUAAUGAGUUAACCGUUGUAGGACCAAUACAGAUCCCCAAAAUCAUUUGAUAACAAACACAAAGGGACCAAUUGUGCACAAAAUAUAUAAUUCAUGGGUAACAUAUUGUAUGUGGUUAAUACGGAACACCUAGAUAACUGAAACAAGGACAAUGGGUGUAUUUUUGCAAGCAUCAUUUUGAAACUCAAUUUAGAUUAUCCAUAUUAAGAGGACAGAAAGAGGAUUUUAAUAUUAGAAACAAAAAAUUCCAACACUGAAUAUGGUCUCUAUCUGUUUGGUUUCAAAUUUCUAAUUCAUCAUGGG
rnacentral:lncRNA from 1 species